AUGUGUCGGAACCUGACUUCUAUCUCCUCUAACUUCUGGUGGGGAUCAGCUCAUGGUGAGAACAAGGUGCACUGGGUGGCCUGGGACAAAAUGUGUUUGUCAAAGCGAGAGGGGGGGAUGGGUUUUCGGAACUUUGAAGUGUUCAACCAGGCUUUGUUGGGCAAGCAAGCAUGGCGAAUUAUGCAAUCCCCGGAGUCGCUUUGUGCUAGGGUUCUGAAGGCAAGAUAUUUCGAAGAUUCCUCGGUUAUGAAUGCUACGUGCCCCUCAAACGGAUCCUUCAUGUUCCGGAGCAUCCUACAUGGUCGG
rnacentral:rRNA from 1 species